UACGUAGGUCCCGAGCGUUGUCCGGAUUUAUUGGGCGUAAAGCGAGCGCAGGUGGUUUAUUAAGUCUGGUGUAAAAGGCAGUGGCUCAACCAUUGUAUGCAUUGGAAACUGGUAGACUUGAGUGCAGGAGAGGAGAGUGGAAUUCCAUGUGUAGCGGUGAAAUGCGUAGAUAUAUGAAGGAACACCGGUGGCGAAAGCGGCUCUCUGGCCUGUAACUGACACUGAGGCUCGAAAGCGUGGGGAACAAACAGG
rnacentral:rRNA from 1 species